UGGAAACAUUUUCAGGUGUGGUCACCUAGA
rnacentral:piRNA from 1 species